rnacentral:rRNA from 1 species
AACGAACGCUGGCGGCAUGCCUAACACAUGCAAGUCGAACGAAGCCUUCGGGCUUAGUGGCGCACGGGUGCGUAACGCGUGGGAAUCUGCCCUUGGGUUCGGAAUAACAGUUAGAAAUGACUGCUAAUACAGGAUGAUGUCUUCGGACCAAAGAUUUAUCGCCCAAGGAUGAGCCCGCGUAGGAUUAGGUAGUUGGUGGGAUAAUGGCCCACCAAGCCGACGAUCCUUAGCUGGUCUGAGAGGAUGAUCAGCCACACUGGGACUGAGACACGGCCCAGACUCCUACGGGAGGCAGCAGUGGGGAAUAUUGGACAAUGGGCGAAAGCCUGAUCCAGCAAUGCCGCGUGAGUGAUGAAGGCCUUCGGGUUGUAAAGCUCUUUUACCAGGGAUGAUAAUGACAGUACCUGGAGAAUAAGCUCCGGCUAACUCCGUGCCAGCAGCCGCCGUAAGAC